rnacentral:rRNA from 1 species
AGUGAACGCUGGCGGUAGGCCUAACACAUGCAAGUCGAACGGCAGCACAGUAAGAGCUUGCUCUUACGGGUGGCGAGUGGCGGACGGGUGAGGAAUACAUCGGAGUCUACUUUUUCGUGGGGGAUAACGUAGGGAAACUUACGCUAAUACCGCAUACGACCUACGGGUGAAAGCAGGGGAUCUUCGGACCUUGCGCGAUUGAAUGAGCCGAUGUCGGAUUAGCUAGUUGGCGGGGUAAAGGCCCACCAAGGCGACGAUCCGUAGCUGGUCUGAGAGGAUGAUCAGUCACACUGGAACUGAGACACGGUCCAGACUCCUACGGGAGGCAGCAGUGGGGAAUAUUGGACAAUGGGCGAAAGCCUGAUCCAGCCAUACCGCGUGGGUGAAGAAGGCCUUCGGGUUGUAAAGCCCUUUUGUUUGGAAAGAAAAGCAGCAGGUUAAUACCCCGCUGUUCUGACGGUACCAAAAGAAUAAGCACCGGCUAACUUCGUG